GGUGGCAAAAGAUGAAUGUUUAUAUUAUCCUACACUCUGAAAAAACCGUGUGGAUUUUAAUUUCGCUUAUUGAUAUUCUGAUGCCAUU